CUCUCCGUAGUUCAAUGGAUAGAACGGGCGCCUCCUAAGCGCCAGAUACAGGUUCGAUUCCUGUCGGAGGGACCA
rnacentral:tRNA from 26 species